AGCGUUGUUCGGAAUCACUGGGCGUAAAGGGCGCGUAGGCGGCUUUGUAAGUCGGGGGUGAAAGCCUGUGGCUCAACCACAGAAUUGCCUUCGAUACUGCAUGGCUUGAGACCGGAAGAGGUAAGUGGAACUGCGAGUGUAGAGGUGAAAUUCGUAGAUAUUCGCAAGAACACCAGUGGCGAAGGCGGCUUACUGGUCCGGUUCUGACGCUGAGGCGCGAAAGCGUGGGGAGCAAACAGG
rnacentral:rRNA from 1 species